UCUGGUACACUCACCACACCGCAAUCCCAAGUUAAGCGAUGAGAAAGCAACAUAUACACCAUCUUUCACAAACAAACCAAAAAUUCACACAACAUCAAAAUUCACACAGCAUAAAAAUUAACAAUUAACACAAACAGCAAGUAGCCACUUAACAAGGGAAUGAAGUGGUCUCUUUUCUUUUCUCAGAACUCAGAAACAAAGUGAGAAGAGCCACGGCGAGCGGAGAAGAAUUUCAGUGGUCUUACCGGGGCGAAGAGCGGCCGAGGGGAGCGACGACAAGNNNN
rnacentral:lncRNA from 1 species